GAAAUUCGCCUUCAUGAAGCUGGAAUUGCUAGUAAUGGCAGGUCAGCAUACUGCCGUGAAUACGUUCCCGGGCCUUGUACACACCGCCCGUCACACCAUGAGAGUUGGAAAUACCCGAAGCCUGUGAGCUAACUUAAAGAGGCAGCAGUCGAAGGUAGAGCCAAUGAUUGGGGUGAAGUCGUAACAAGGUAAC
rnacentral:rRNA from 1 species